rnacentral:misc_RNA from 1 species
AGAGCCCAUACCCUCCAAUCACAGCCCACCACCUUCAGUGUCUGUCUCUCUCUCUCUCUCUCAGAUUUUAGCAAAAAGCUUAGAUUCAUUCCUUGGGGCUGGGUACCUCUUUGCUUUUGAGCUUCUUAUUAGCGUUGUGGUCUCUCUCAUUCCAUAGGAGCAGUGCCUAUAUAUUUUCUUUUUCUUUCUUCUCUUUUCUUUGUUGCUCAUACCUGAAGGAAAAGGAGGAAAGCAGAGAGAUCUUUUCCCAGCUUUUUCUUUUUUCGCUUCUCCAACUCCCUCAGAGAAUCACUGUCUAACCUGUUUUCCCAUCUGGGUUUUCCAUUUCCACUUUUUUUCUUUCAAAAAUUUUAGCUUCUCUCUAGUUUCUUUUUCUUUAUUUUCCUACUCCUGCUUGGAGAUAUCGAAGAACUUGAAGCUCUACAAAGAGAAGCUUUACUCAAGCUUUCAUCUUUUCAAAUUCUUGGCUUCUUCUAUCUCGGUUCCUGAGAAUUGUUUCUGGGUUUUACUGUCUUGCUAUAAGAAGUCUUCCCUGUUUGCUUCCCACGGAAGUUUAAGUGGGUAUAGAUCUCACUAGUGGUUCUAGGGUUCCAUCUUGGAAUGUUUUAAGAGUAUUUUUAGUUUUAUUAGAAAUGGUUUUUACUAAUUUUGUUUGAUUUUUAGAAAGUUGGGUCUUUUAUAGAUUCCUCAGGGGUAUGACUGCACCACGAAAAAAGCUAUUCUGAUUCCUUUUUAAUGCUUACUGAUUUAACACUGAUAUUUUUGUGGCGAAACCUCUACCUCUCUGCAUUUCCUAUCUGGGUUCUUUUUCUUUUUUUUUCCUCUGUUUCACCAAAUACAGCGCCUCUAGCCAAUUCUUCAUUUAAGAAUUUCAGAUUUGUUCCAAUUCUCUGGCAUGUUACAAUAGUUUUGCCUCUUAAUUGGACGCAAUGAAGUGGGAAAUGGAAGUUCUUUCACCUGCAUCGUAUCAUUCAAGCACAAAUUGGCUAAUAGAAGAGAGCAAGAGCACCAAAUGGACUCCAGCAGAGAACAAGAUUUUUGAGAAUGCUCUAGCAGUCUACGAUAAGGACACUCCUGAUAGAUGGCACAGGGUUGCUGCUAUGCUUCCUGGGAAAACCGUUGGGGAUGUCAUAAAGCAGUACAGGGAAUUAGAAGUUGAUGUUAGCAAUAUAGAGGCGGGGCUGAUUCCAAUUCCUGGAUAUAGAACCUCUCCCUUCACAUUGGAUUGGGCUAGCAGUAAUACCUAUGAUGGCUUCAAACAAUCUUAUGCUCUUGGUGGGAAGAGAUCUCCGUCAGGUCGGCCCGCUGAUCAGGAGAGAAAGAAAGGAGUUCCAUGGACGGAGGAGGAGCACAAGUAAGUUUUUCCUUGCAUAUUUAUGUCAGGUGCUCAUAUUCUAUGACUAUUUUUCAAAAACAAGUUUCCAUGUCCAAUUCCAGCAGUUUUUAGCUAAAUUUUAUGUAUUAGGAUGGGAAAAUAUCAAUUUGAGAGGAGAGAAAAAGAAAAAUGUUUAUCCUUUGAAAUCUUGGUUUCUGUUGAUUUUAAGGAUUGUGAAUAUGGUGAAAAGCUGUGGCAGUGCUGGUACCUUGUUUUAGGUAGAGAACGUAAUUUGUGUUAGAAUCUAAUCUGGAAGAGAACAUAAUUGUACUAAGAUUCUUUUAAUUAUUUUUUCUGUUGGAGAUUGUACUGUAAACAUGUUUUUGGCAGCCGCCAGAACUUCGUUUCAAAAAAUUCUAAUGAUUUUACAAUUGCAAAUUCCUUGUAAAAUUCUACUGCCUGCCACAAAUCAUAAAUAUUCAAUUUGUUGCAGGUUGUUCCUGAUGGGCUUGAAAAAGUAUGGCAAAGGAGACUGGAGAAAUAUAUCGCGGAAUUUUGUUGUAACUAGAACGCCAACUCAGGUGGCUAGUCAUGCACAGAAGUAUUUUAUCAGGCAGCUUUCAGGAGGGAAAGAUAAGAGAAGAGCUAGUAUUCAUGAUAUAACAACUGUCAACCUUAAUGACGUGAGAACUCCAUCGCCGGACAAUAAAAGAUCACCACCUUCACCUGAUCAAUCUACUGUGCUUUCGCAGCAGUCCAAUGCUGUUGCCAUGCCUAGAACACAUUUUCAAUGGAAUCAACCCAAUAGUGAAGCAACCAUGGCUUUCAGUGCAACAAAUGGGAAUAUGUUCAUGGCUUCUCCUUACGGAAUUAACUCAUAUGGGCUUAAAAUGCAAGCUCACAAUCUGCAUAGAGGUGCUGUUCAUGAAUCUUUUAUCGCACCUCAAAGUAUAGCUUUUCCGAUGCAAUCUGCACAGCACUACUCUUAUGGAUGAGAGUGCUAUGGCUUUGAUUUCUCCAAUGCCACCUCUUCUUGUAGUUUCAUUGGUAUAGCUGUGUCUGUGCUCUCCUUUUUCAUUUUAACCCUUUUUUCCUUUUUCUUUUUCGGGGAUCUUUUUGUAUAUGUCAUCAAGAAGUCAAGUUUAGUCCAUAGCUGGUACUUGAAACUUGAAGGAUAAAGGAUUCUGUUUUGCUUGGCAUUUCAAUCUCUUAAUUAUGAGACUGAGAGGGAAGAUUCUCCAAUCUGGGUAAUUCUUAUAUGUAGGAGUAGGAUCAUCCGUUCAAUGUAUAGAGUGGUGAGCACUAUCCAAAUGAGCAUGGGGAAUGUGUUCAAUCGAUAUAUUUGUUGUAAAAGGGUGCAGAAAAUGAUUCUGAAGUAAGACUCGACUUCACAGUUCCCUGCUUGCUUGCCUGCCUGCCCCAUGAUCUGAUACCUUAAGAAAGUUCCUCCGAGAUGAGAUAAUAAGAGUGCGGAAAGAGAUUUGUAUGCAUCAAUAAGCCAACCUAUGGAAUUCCAAGCCCACGCAAAGAAUAUGAAAUAAAGGGAUCUGCACGAACUAAGAUGUCCAAGCAUCUUCAAUUAUAAGUUAAAAGCUUAGCAUUUUUAUAGCUAUUUCUAUAGUUGAUGAUGCAUAGUAAGGUCAUGAAUUCUAUGUGCAUAUUGUUAGUAAUGUAUAAUCAGUUAAAAAUAAUCAAGAAACUACUCAAUUGUAUGUUUCCUUUUCUUUGU